UGGGGAAUAUUGGACAAUGGGCGAAAGCCUGAUCCAGCCAUGCCGCGUGUGUGAAGAAGGUCUUCGGAUUGUAAAGCACUUUAAGUUGGGAGGAAGGGCAUUAACCUAAUACGUUAGUGUUUUGACGUUACCGACAGAAUAAGCACCGGCUAACUCUGUGCCAGCAGCCGCGGUAAUACAGAGGGUGCAAGCGUUAAUCGGAAUUACUGGGCGUAAAGCGCGCGUAGGUGGUUUGUUAAGUUGGAUGUGAAAUCCCCGGGCUCAACCUGGGAACUGCAUUCAAAACUGACUGACUAGAGUAUGGUAGAGGGUGGUGGAAUUUCCUGUGUAGCGGUGAAAUUCGUAGAUAUAGGAAGGAACACCAGUGGCGAAGGCGACCACCUGGACUAAUACUGACACUGAGGUGCGAAAGCGUGGGGAGCAAACA
rnacentral:rRNA from 1 species